GUCGCCGUUGCGAGUCCCAAGGCUGCCGCAAGUUGAUGUCGCGCGCCCCGUUGCCACUCACCGCCGCAGUCGUCUCGCCGUUCCCGUGACGGAUUUGCUGUCCACCCUCUCCCUCCGGCUCUCCCACCGUUCUUGAUCUCUCAGACUCUCACUGAGCCACACCAGCGGCAGCCACCCUCCUUCCGCCAAUUGACGGUAAGUUUUGGUCCUUCUUAUUAAUUAUUUGUUUUAUUUAUUUAUUUUUUAAUUAGCACCAAUUGAAUUGAUUUUGCUAUGUCGAUUGUUGUGGUGCGGCAGCCACACCAGCAGCAGCUUGCUGCGUGGGCACGCAGCAGCUUGCCCACGUGAUUUGGUCUUCCUUUUUAAGUCUUUUUUUUUUUUUAAAUUUUUAGUAAAUAAAUGAUUUUAUCUUUAAUAAUUUUUAACAAUUGUGGAAUUUUUAAACACUAUAUUUAUAUUUCACAUAAAAAAAUUUAAAAAUAAAUAAAAUAAAAAUUAUCGUUAUAGGUUACUGUUAUUAUCUCUUUUGAAAUGAGAUUGAAUUAUUUUUAUAUUUUGUUGAAGAACAACAACAUAUAAAGUAAAGAGAGAAAGUCUAGAGAAAAUAUAAUAGUUUUAAAUCUCAGAUAAAAUAAAAAAUUAUCGUUAUUUACAUCACCCUUGCUUUCUCUUUUAAAAUAAAAUUGAACUAUUUUUAUAUUUCGCUGAAAUUUCAAUAAAGUGAAAAUUUUAGCAACACAUCCACAACGCCUCAUCACCUCUUGUGUUACAUGCAAAUAAAUCAAUGAAGAACCAGAGAAAUUCAUCACAUAGAAAACAAGUCAAGACUAAGUCAUUGAAUUUGAGCGUGUGAAUUGAAAAUUGAAAAAUUUUGUAAGAUAAUAUUUCAUAUGAUACAAAUAGUGGCUAAAUAUCAUAUACAAAAAAAUAACAACUUUAUUAAUAUAAAACUACAAAUUUUAAUCAAUUUUUUAUUUAAAUUUGUAGCCUUUAUUUUUUAUAAUAACUUCAAUUUAGAUGUGAAAAUUAACCAUUCAUAAUAAAUUAUAAUAUAAUUAUUAAGGUUUUAUUUAAUUAAUAAAAUAAUAUGUUAAUCUAAAUUUUGUUAUUUAAUAAAUAUUUUCAAAUAAAUUAUCGAAUAAAAUGAAGUAGGAGGAGAAUAAAGAAAAUGUGGAAUUUAAAAUUUUAAUUUGGAAAUGAAGUGAAAAAAAAAUCUCAAAAAGAGAUCAGGUACAAAUGGUAUUUAUAUAUCAUGUGUUUUUAUUAUAUAAGUUGUGAAUUACUUUACUUGUGCUAUAUUUUGUAAUCUUCUCUUGCUUUACUAAAAACACCAUAUUAAAUUUUCUUUUUUUUUUACAGGUUAAUUUACUGACUAUAUGGUGCUUGUACGUAGUCUCAAUAAUAUUUGGCAAAAGAUGCAAAUGGUGGGCAAAAAUAAUUGUUGCAUCGAUCGUUACUGAUGAUGAGAAGAACAAAGUGCCUCUUGUAUAUAUGAUUGUUGUUCAAGAACUUGAUUUUAAUAUGUAAUUUACUUUAUUUUUUUUUAUAAAGAUUAAAAACUUUGUAUGAAUCAUUUAAUUUUAAUAAUAUUUAUGAUUUGUGUAUUAAA
rnacentral:lncRNA from 1 species